rnacentral:rRNA from 2 species
AAAGAAACCAACAGGGAUUCCCCUAGUAACGGCGAGUGAAGCGGGAACAGCUCAAAUUUGAAAUCUGGCCCUUGGGUCCGAGUUGUAAUUUGCAGAGGAUGCUUUUGGUGCGGUGCCUUCCGAGUUCCCUGGAACGGGACGCCUUAGAGGGUGAGAGCCCCGUACGGUUGGACACCAAGCCUAUGUAAAGCUCCUUCGACGAGUCGAGUAGUUUGGGAAUGCUGCUCAAAAUGGGAGGUAUAUUUCUUCUAAAGCUAAAUAUUGGCCAGAGACCGAUAGCGCACAAGUAGAGUGAUCGAAAGAUGAAAAGCACUUUGAAAAGAGGGUUAAAUAGCACGUGAAAUUGUUGAAAGGGAAGGAUUUAUGACCAGACUUUUUCUAGGGGGAUCAUCCGGUGUUCUCACCGGUGCACUUCCCCUAGUUGAGGCCAGCAUCGGUUUCUGUCGGGGGAUAAAAGCUUCAGGAAUGUGGCUCCCUCCGGGGAGUGUUAUAGCCUGUUGCAUAAUACCCUGACGGGGACCGAGGUUCGCGCAUUGCAAGGAUGCUGGCGUAAUGGUUAUUAAUCACCCGUCUUGAAACACGGACCAAGGAGUCGAACAUUUGUGCGAGUGUUUGGGUGUUAAACCCUCACGCGUAAUGAAAGUGAACGGAGGUGAGAGCCUUUCGGGGUGCAUCAUCGACCGAUCCUGAUGUCUUCGGAUGGAUUUGAGUAAGAGCAUUAAUGUUCGGACCCGAAAGAUGGUGAACUAUGCGUGGAUAGGGUGAAGCCAGAGGAAACUCUGGUGGAGGCUCGCAGCGGUUCUGACGUGCAAAUCGAUCGUCAAAUCUGCGCAUGGGGGCGAAAGACUAAUCGAACCAUCUAGUAGCUGGUUACCGCCGA